CUUCCAAGUCAGGAUGGGGAGGCAACUUGGAGGGGAACCUGCAUUUGGUGGUGUUCCUAUCUGCCUGCUGCCCUUGCCCUUCUUGAUGGCAGAGAUCAUGGGCUUGGGAGGUGCUGUCAGAGUAGCAAUUGUAGAACAAAAGAGCUGAAGAGGUGUUGAAAACUAUGAAAGCUUUUCAUGAGGGGACUCUUAACUUCAAACAAGUUACACACAAGGCUAAAGUAAAUACAGUAACCAAGAUGAAAUAUUCUUCAUACUACAGACAGGUGAAAUUUAUUCAAG